rnacentral:misc_RNA from 1 species
AAAUUCUCAAAGUAAAUCUUUUGUUAAUUCAAUUGGUUUACUUUGGAUUUGGAGGCUUUGCGGAUUUUACAAUCUGCUCCUCUUGAAUACAUUAGCUGGAUCUCAGUAUAUACUUGGUUCCACUCGGUGUGAUAAGUAUCACUCGCCGAGGACACCACCUGUAAAAAGGUGUGGCCAAGGGGUACAGACGAACCAGCUUCUAAUAGUCUAUUGAAUUAGACAAUUAAUUUAAAG